CGAACGCUGGCGGCGUGCUUAACGCGAUGCAAGUCGAACGCGAAAGGGACUUCGGUCCUGAGUAAAGUGGCGCACGGGUGAGUAACGCGUAGAUAACCUGUCUUCAUGUCUGGAAUAAUACGCCGAAAGGGGUACUAAUACCGGAUAUUCUUGCUUUUCAUAAGUUAUGCAAGCAAAGGUGGCCUCUGCAUAUGCUACUGCAUGAAGAGGGGUCUGCGUACCAUUAGCUAGUAGGUGGGGUAAUGGCCUACCUAGGCGACGAUGGUUAGCGGGUCUGAGAGGAUGAUCCGCCACACUGGCACUGGAACACGGGCCAGACUCCUACGGGAGGCAGCAGUGAGGAAUAUUGCGCAAUGGGGGAAACCCUGACGCAGCGACGCCGCGUGAGUGAAGGAAGGCCUUCGGGUCGUAAAGCUCUGUCAAGAGGAAAGAAGUGUACAAUGGCUAAUACCUGUUGUAUUUGACGGUACCUCUAAAGGAAGCACCGGCUAACUCCGUGCCAGCAGCCGC
rnacentral:rRNA from 1 species